UACGUAGGGCGCAAGCGUUAUCCGGAAUUAUUGGGCGUAAAGAGCUCGUAGGCGGUUUGUCGCGUCUGCCGUGAAAGUCCGGGGCUCAACUCCGGAUCUGCGGUGGGUACGGGCAGACUGGAGUGAUGUAGGGGAGACUGGAAUUCCUGGUGUAGCGGUGAAAUGCGCAGAUAUCAGGAGGAACACCGAUGGCGAAGGCAGGUCUCUGGGCAUUAACUGACGCUGAGGAGCGAAAGCAUGGGGAGCGAAACAGG
rnacentral:rRNA from 1 species